GGAGUUGUGGCUCAGUGGUAGAGCACUCUCCUAGCAUGUGUGAGGCCCUGGGUUCAAUCCUCAGCACCA
rnacentral:tRNA from 1 species